AGUUUGCUCCUGGUUUUUCCUCUUCUGCAAUGCGGUUCACAUGACCUACUCAACUGCACAACUGUCAAAGCUCAGCCAAGGGUCGCUGCCUUGCAAGGAUGUGGAAAGAAACUCCUGACAAGAAGCAGCUCUGAGAUAUGGAGCUUUUGUGUGAACUGGAGGAAGAGAACCUCAAAAUACGAAUUUAAGCAAGAGGAAGGGUUCGGUCCUCAAAUCUUACUACAGAUUGUCUCUGUGGCACUGACUCAAAGAGCUGGACAUACCAGGAACAAUCUCCAGGUGGAAAGCAGAAUGCUAUUUUAACAACAAAUGACUAUGCUGAAGCAAAUGUUCUGUCUAUGGAAGUCUGGAUGGAGAGCUCUGUUCCUCCUCUUUUGAACUGAAAACAGCACUAUUUGCCGAUCUGAUGCAUCCUUGGAAUACCC
rnacentral:lncRNA from 1 species